rnacentral:lncRNA from 1 species
UCAAAAGCAUGCCUAGCCAUGCAGCCAUACUUUUCCCCUCUCUCCAACACUCAACUUCAAGCUUAGAGUAACUUCUACCAUACAAAAAUAUACUUCAGCCCAAUCCCCCAUUACUUAACAAACAUGAGUCCUUCAGCCAUUCACCACAAUUCCUCUUGCAAUGGGGCCUCAAAGUUCAGGAGUCAUCACAACCCAACAGAUUUCCUUUUCAAGAUUAAACAUCUAACUCUAGAUUUCUGCCAACCUUCCUCAAGUGUAUAUGUUUGUAAAUCAGAAACUCCAACUAGAGUUCACACACACACACACAUUUGUCUCAUCAAUGUAGAUAUACAUAUAGAUAUGCAUUUACAUAUAGAUGUGCAUUUACAGAGAAACAAGAGACAUAAACAUAUGAGCUUUACUUACAAGUGUGCAAUUCAUAAACUGAUUUUACAUGUUUAAAUGAAAUGUGUUCACAUAAAUCGGAUUUAAGUUUUGUGCCCUAUUGUGUGGGAGCGGAUUCUGUGAGUGGUGGGCAGACGGAGAGAGGCGGCAGUGUGGCUGGUGGCCGUGUCAACGUCGGGGCUACAAAGGAAGCGUCGGAGGUGGCGGAAUUGAAGGGAAAAAUGGGGGUUGGGACUGCGAUGACUGCUUCUGCUGUUGUUCGUCGGAGAUCGGAGAGGGAGUUCAGAGCGGUGGCCGGCGGUGGCACAAAGCCACAGUUGUCCGUCCGAUAGUGAGAGAGAAGAGGUGAGGGUUGGAAUUUGUUUGGGGGCUUGGGUUAGAGGCGGCGGCGCCACUCGAUCCACGACCGGUGACUACUCGCCUAUGUGUCUGUAGAAGAGAGGAGGUGGUGGCGGCGACUUGUCGCCGUUACUGUCGUCGGAGUUUCAGGACGAGGCAGCGCGCGGGGUGCUGCCAGUUUGUGAAGGGCAAGAGAGAGAGAAAGAGAUCUGUGCUGUGAGAUGGUGAGACGGCGAGAGGGAUGAGGCGAGAGGGAGACUGUGGCGGUGGCCGUGGCCAUGGCGGCGGUUGCUGCCGCCGAGAGAGAGAGGGAGAUGGGUGCCGGUGCGUCUGUGUGUGUGCGUCUCUGCGUAUGUGUGUGUGCGCGCGCGUGUGCUUUGAUUUUGAAGAGGGAAGGA